GAGGUCAAGCAAAUCCCAUAAAGUUGUUCUCAGUUCGGAUUGUAGUCUGCAACUCGACUACAUGAAGCUGGAAUCGCUAGUAAUCGUAGAUCAGCAUGCUACGGUGAAUACGUUCCCGGGUCUUGUACACACCGCCCGUCACACCACGAGAGUUUGUAACACCCGAAGCCGGUGGAGUAACCUUUUAGGAGCUAGCCGUCGAAGGUGGGACAAAUGAUUGAGGUGAAGUCGUAACAAGGUAGCCGUAUCGGAAGGUGCGGCUGGAUCACCUCCUUU
rnacentral:rRNA from 1 species